GCAGCAGGUCUCAGGUAGCAGGCCCAGGGAAGUCCGUCAGCAUACGGUCCGUAGAGAAGGAUCUGAAGGCAGAAACCUCGAGUCCGUCGUGGUGCGGGAUCUGAUGGCAGAAAACCUUCUCUAGUCUGUCGCGGUAUUCUCUGCUUCUGGAUAGGUACCAGCAUUGUUUGAUACCCUUCUCUAGAAGACACUUAACAUAAAGUGAUGAUCAGCUUCAGCGUCUAAUAAGGCAGCCAUUCUGAACACAUCGAGACAAAAAAGUGGUUUCCCUAGCAACAAGAACCAUGCCAAAGCUCUCAGAACAGAAGGAAGGAAGGAAGGAAGGAAGGAAGGAAGAAAGGAAGGGAGGAAGGAACGAAGGAAGGAAGGAAGGAAGAGAAAGAAAGGAAGAGAAAGAAAGGAAGAGAAAGAAAGGAAGAGAAAGAAAGGAAGAAAGUGAGGAUCAGCUGCUACAGUGAAAAUACUAGAAAUUCCUCCAUUCAUUGAGAUUACACUUCAUCAGGACAAGAAAUCUUUGAAUUUUGUAUCCAAGAAGGAACAAAUCCACAGCUAAAUAUGAACUGUUGUCACUCAGCAAAGCCAGUGCACUAGUGUCAAGUUUCUAUUCAUGUUUUCAUCACUUAGUUUUUACUCUUUCUCUCUGAAUGUUGCUGAUGAGUUUUAAUUCAUCCUGAAUCUCUCAGCUUUCCUCUUCUGAUGAGUUCAUUAUAUGUGGGUCAUUCCAAAAGUAAUGCCUCCUAUUUAUUCCCAUGGUAACUAAAACAGAAACAAAGAGAGCAAUUACACUGUACAAUAGAACAAGUUCUCGACUACAAAACACUGUUUUGCAGCACAGUUACCACCACUAGCUAUACAUUUUCAGCAGCCAUGGACAAGAUCCUGCAAUCCCAGCUGGUAAAAAUCUGCAAGUCCUCUUGGAACAUAGUUUGUCUUUAACUUCGCUGUCACCGCCGCUAAAACGCACCCCUACCUCCUCACUGUGCUCACAUCCACUGUGUGGUCUCCAUAAAUGUUCAGCAAUUGUCAGCGAAUGUCAAUAGGAACAACUUUUUCAGCGAUGAAUUCGGUGAUACAUCUUUGCCUCUGUCGCACUUCCAUGUCAGACGCCAUUCUUCCAGACUGCCCCUCUGCUGUCAUCUGUCACACGGCAACAAAAUGUAAUGGAAUACUGGUACGAAGUUUCCAUCCCCACCAACAUCCACCUUUGACUUUGUGGGCCAAGAUAAUAAAAAAAGAGGGAUCACUUGUAUAUAUUCUCUUCUAUCAAGGAAAGAAUAAAGUUACAUUAAAAUAAUCGCUUCUGUUAU
ensembl:lncRNA